rnacentral:rRNA from 1 species
AACAGGAUUAGAUACCCUGGUAGUCCACGCCGUAAACGAUGUCGACCAGCCGUUGGGUGCCUAGCGCACUUUGUGGCGAAGUUAACGCGAUAAGUCGACCGCCUGGGGAGUACGGCCGCAAGGUUAAAACUCAAAUGAAUUGACGGGGGCCCGCACAAGCGGUGGAGCAUGUGGUUUAAUUCGAUGCAACGCGAAGAACCUUACCUACUCUUGACAUCCUGCGAAUUUGGUAGAGAUACCUUAGUGCCUUCGGGAACGCAGAGACAGGUGCUGCAUGGCUGUCGUCAGCUCGUGUUGUGAAAUGUUGGGUUAAGUCCCGUAACGAGCGCAACCCUUGUCCUUAUUUGCCAGCGCGUAAUGGCGGGAACUCUAAGGAGACUGCCGGUGACAAACCGGAGGAAGGUGGGGACGACGUCAGGUCAUCAUGGCCCUUACGAGUAGGGCUACACACGUGCUACAAUGGUCGGUACAAAGGGUUGCCAACUCGCGAGAGUGAGCCAAUCCCGAAAAGCCGAUCUCAGUCCGGAUCGGAGUCUGCAACUCGACUCCGUGAAGUCGGAAUCGCUAGUAAUCGUGGAUCAGAAUGCCACGGUGAAUACGUUCCCGGGCCUUGUACACACCGCCCGUCACACCAUGGGAGUGGACUGCACCAGAAGUGGUUAGCCUAACGCAAGAGGGCGAUCACCACGGUGUGGUUCAUGACUGGGGUGAAGUCGUAACAAGGUAACC